GCCCAGGAAGCCACUGCUGCAGGAAGUGUCCUGGACGUUAACACUGCUUUACAAGAAGUGCUGACCGCCCUCAUGCAUGAUGGCCCAGCAUAAGGAUUUACAAAGCUGUCAGAGCCUUAGAUGAGAGCCAAGCCCAUCUCUGUGAGCCUGCAUGAUGAGCCCACCUCUGUCAAAUCAGGGGAGGCCCUUUGUGCUGAACUCCAGGUCAAUAGACUUAAGGGAGGGUGAUGACAGAAGAAGCCAAGGGGACAGGUAGGUGGUCCCUGUGAAAUUGACAGAGAGGGAAGACCCUGUACAGCGGUCAGUUGUGUUGUGUCAUAGUUAAGAACUGUGGCAAAGAAUCUCAGGUGGAGGAUGUUAUUGAAGAGUACUUCAAA
rnacentral:lncRNA from 1 species